GAGAAAUCGGCGUACAAAAUACCAAUCCACGAAAUAACACUCCACGAAAUAACCAGCAAGUUCGAUACGUGUUAUUUCGUGGAUUAAUCCACAAAAUAACCAAAAAACGUUAGUUAGGGUUAGGGUUAGGGUUAGGGUUAGGGUUAGGGUUAGGGUUAGGGUUAGGGUUAGGUUAGGGUUAGGGUUAGGGUUAGGUUAGGGUUAGGGUUAGGGUUAGGGUUAGGUUAGGGUUAGGGUUAGGGUUAGGGUUAGGGUUAGGGUUAGGGUUAGGGUUAGGGUUAGGGUUAGGGUUAGGGUUAGGGUUAGGGUUAGGGUUAGGGUUAGGGUUAGGGUUAGGGUUAGGGUUAG